CUUGAUUAGGCAGAAUGGCCACGAUGGGGCUUUCCACUUUGCCCUUCUCAGCGUUUGAGGGAUCAAUGACCGCAACAAUAGGAACGGCCACCUUAUGCGAAGAUGAAUCUUCCGCACGAUCAGAUAGAUACGCUUCACCUAUCGCAGACGAAGAUCUCAUUGGAUGGACUGUCCAUGUUAAAUUAUUAUCCUCUACCUCUGGCGUAUAUUCAUGUGCGUCGUAUUCGAAGAAUGCUUGGUUCUCUGGCGAUGAAGACUUUUGAGCUUCUGCUUCCUUCGCUUCAGUAAUAUUUUUUCGUACGUCCUCCAAGUUCUCAGGGGGAACCACCAGAAGGUGUUCGCGUUUCGAUAGUAUCUUGAAUAAAAGGUAAUACAAAUUUGGUACAAUAAUAUUAUAAUAAAAUAAUAAAUUAGUAUAAUAAUUAUUAUAUAUUAUAAGUUAUCAUUAUCGUUAUUAUAAAAUCAAAUGAUACAAAUUACCACAAUAAAAAUUUUAAGAUCUGAUCUUUUAA